AAAUUGAAGAGUUUGAUCAUGGCUCAGAUUGAACGCUGGCGGCAGGCCUAACACAUGCAAGUCGAGCGGUAGCACAGAGAGCUUGCUCUCGGGUGACGAGCGGCGGACGGGUGAGUAAUGUCUGGGAAACUGCCUGAUGGAGGGGGAUAACUACUGGAAACGGUAGCUAAUACCGCAUAACGUCGCAAGACCAAAGUGGGGGACCUUCGGGCCUCAUGCCAUCAGAUGUGCCCAGAUGGGAUUAGCUAGUAGGUGGGGUAACGGCUCACCUAGGCGACGAUCCCUAGCUGGUCUGAGAGGAUGACCAGCCACACUGGAACUGAGACACGGUCCAGACUCCUACGGGAGGCAGCAGUGGGGAAUAUUGCACAAUGGGCGCAAGCCUGAUGCAGCCAUGCCGCGUGUGUGAAGAAGGCCUUCGGGUUGUAAAGCACUUUCAGCGGGGAGGAAGGCGUUAAGGUUAAUAACCUUGGCGAUUGACGUUACCCGCAGAAGAAGCACCGGCUAACUCCGUGCCAGCAGCCGCGGUAAUACGGAGGGUGCAAGCGUUAAUCGGAAUUACUGGGCGUAAAGCGCACGCAGGCGGUCUGUCAAGUCGGAUGUGAAAUCCCCGGGCUCAACCUGGGAACUGCAUUCGAAACUGGCAGGCUAGAGUCUUGUAGAGGGGGGUAGAAUUCCAGGUGUAGCGGUGAAAUGCGUAGAGAUCUGGAGGAAUACCGGUGGCGAAGGCGGCCCCCUGGACAAAGACUGACGCUCAGGUGCGAAAGCGUGGGGAGCAAACAGGAUUAGAUACCCUGGUAGUCCACGCCGUAAACGAUGUCGAUUUGGAGGUUGUGCCCUUGAGGCGUGGCUUCCGGAGCUAACGCGUUAAAUCGACCGCCUGGGGAGUACGGCCGCAAGGUUAAAACUCAAAUGAAUUGACGGGGGCCCGCACAAGCGGUGGAGCAUGUGGUUUAAUUCGAUGCAACGCGAAGAACCUUACCUGGUCUUGACAUCCACAGAACUUUCCAGAGAUGGAUUGGUGCCUUCGGGAACUGUGAGACAGGUGCUGCAUGGCUGUCGUCAGCUCGUGUUGUGAAAUGUUGGGUUAAGUCCCGCAACGAGCGCAACCCUUAUUCUUUGUUGCCAGCGGUCCGGCCGGGAACUCAAAGGAGACUGCCAGUGAUAAACUGGAGGAAGGUGGGGAUGACGUCAAGUCAUCAUGGCCCUUACGACCAGGGCUACACACGUGCUACAAUGGCAUAUACAAAGAGAAGCGACCUCGCGAGAGCAAGCGGACCUCAUAAAGUAUGUCGUAGUCCGGAUUGGAGUCUGCAACUCGACUCCAUGAAGUCGGAAUCGCUAGUAAUCGUAGAUCAGAAUGCUACGGUGAAUACGUUCCCGGGCCUUGUACACACCGCCCGUCACACCAUGGGAGUGGGUUGCAAAAGAAGUAGGUAGCUUAACCUUCGGGAGGGCGCUUACCACUUUGUGAUUCAUGACUGGGGUGAAGUCGUAACAAGGUAACCGUAGGGGAACCUGCGGUUGGAUCACCUCCUUA
rnacentral:rRNA from 1 species